UACGGAAGGCAGCAGUGGGGAAUAUUGCACAAUGGGCGCAAGCCUGAUGCAGCCAUGCCGCGUGUAUGAAGAAGGCCUUCGGGUUGUAAAGUACUUUUCAGCGGGGAGGAAGGCGAUGCGGUUAAUAACCGCGUCGAUUGACGUUACCCGCAGAAGAAGCACCGGCUAACUCCGUGCCAGCAGCCGCGGUAAUACGGAGGGUGCAAGCGUUAAUCGGAAUUACUGGGCGUAAAGCGCACGCAGGCGGUCUGUUAAGUCAGAUGUGAAAUCCCCCGGGCUUAACCUGGGAACUGCAUUUGAAACUGGCAGGCUUGAGUCUUGUAGAGGGGGUAGAAUUCCAGGUGUAGCGGUGAAAUGCGUAGAGAUCUGGAGGAAUCCGGUGGCGAAGGCGGCCCCUGGGACAAGACUGACGCUCAGGGUGCGAAAGCGUGGGGAGCGAAACAGGAUUAGGAUACC
rnacentral:rRNA from 1 species